UACGGGGGGGGGCAAGCGUUGUUCGGAAUUACUGGGCGUAAAGGGCGCGUAGGUGGCCUUCUAAGUCGGACGUGAAAUCCCUCGGCUUAACCGAGGAACUGCGUCCGAUACUGAAAGGCUUGAAUCCGGGAGAGGGAUGUGGAAUUCCAGGUGUAGCGGUGAAAUGCGUAGAUAUUGGGAAGAACACCGGUGGCGCAAGCGGCUUGCUGGGCCAUAACUGACACUGAGGAACGAAAGCUAGGGGAGCGAAUGGG
rnacentral:rRNA from 1 species